rnacentral:rRNA from 1 species
CAUGCAAGUCGAACGGCAGCACGGGUGCUUGCACCUGGUGGCGAGUGGCGAACGGGUGAGUAAUACAUCGGAACAUGUCCUGUAGUGGGGGAUAGCCCGGCGAAAGCCGGAUUAAUACCGCAUACGAUCUACGGAUGAAAGCGGGGGACCUUCGGGCCUCGCGCUAUAGGGUUGGCCGAUGGCUGAUUAGCUAGUUGGUGGGGUAAAGGCCUACCAAGGCGACGAUCAGUAGCUGGUCUGAGAGGACGACCAGCCACACUGGGACUGAGACACGGCCCAGACUCCUACGGGAGGCAGCAGUGGGGAAUUUUGGACAAUGGGCGAAAGCCUGAUCCAGCAAUGCCGCGUGUGUGAAGAAGGCCUUCGGGUUGUAAAGCACUUUUGUCCGGAAAGAAAUCCUUGGUUCUAAUAUAGCCGGGGGAUGACGGUACCGGAAGAAUAAGCACCGGCUAACUACGUGCCAGCAGCCGCGGUAAUACGUAGGGUGCGAGCGUUAAUCGGAAUUACUGGGCGUAAAGCGUGCGCAGGCGGUUUGCUAAGACCGAUGUGAAAUCCCCGGGCUCAACCUGGGAACUGCAUUGGUGACUGGCAGGCUAGAGUAUGGCAGAGGGGGGUAGAAUUCCACGUGUAGCAGUGAAAUGCGUCGACGAUGUGGAGGAUACCGAUGGCGAAGGCAGCCCCUGGGCCAAUACUGACGCUCAUGCACGA